UACGUAGGGUGCAAGCGUUAAUCGGAAUUACUGGGCGUAAAGCGUGCGCAGGCGGUUCGGAAAGAAAGAUGUGAAAUCCCAGGGCUUAACCUUGGAACUGCAUUUUUAACUGCCGGGCUAGAGUAUGUCAGAGGGGGGUAGAAUUCCACGUGUAGCAGUGAAAUGCGUAGAGAUGUGGAGGAAUACCGAUGGCGAAGGCAGCCCCCUGGGAUAAUACUGACGCUCAUGCACGAAAGCGUGGAGAGCAAACAGG
rnacentral:rRNA from 1 species